UCCACAUAAACUAGUUAUAACUAAAGCUAUUACUGAAGUUCCUGUUCAAUAGCUAUAGCUGAAGCUCAGAAGCUUGGACAUUUGGAGGUAAGACAGUAUGUAAUUUUGAUUUUUAAAAUAUUGAGCAGUGUAAGGUUAAAAAAAAAGCUCAGAAGCCCAUCUACUUUACCUUAUUAUUAAAAGGACAACUGCCUUUUAUCUAUCUGUUAUAACAGAAUUUAUAAACAUGUGAAGACUAAAAUUAGAAUUACCUAUUAUUCUACUCACCAUGUAUGCAAUUCUUUUCUUUAAGUGUUAUUUUCCUACUGUUUAAAAAAAUCUGUUUUUUUUUGGUAAAGAUGGGGGUCCCACUAUGUUGCCCAGAUUGGUCUUGAACUCCUGGCCUCAAGCAGUCCUCCUGCCUCAACCUCCCAAAGUGCUGGGAUUAUAGGUGUGAGCCACGGUGCCUGCUACAAUUCUUGUUAGUUAAGUCAUUUUUCAUGAAAUUUCCAGUGUCCACAGGGCAAAGCUAAAAAGACAGUGCAGCUGACUCUUUUGAUAACUGCAUGUCUCUCCUCUCUGCCACAGCCCCAGGCAAAGCCACACCUACCCCUGCUCUUCAGGAUGCUGUCUCCCACCCUCCAACCCCAUGCUAAUCUGUGACACCUGAAAGCACAGGAUGGCUCCUAACAAGCAAUGCUUCCUGCAAGAGCCUUUUGAAAGGUAAAGAAAACCUUCUUAUCUGUUCCUCAGUCUGGCAAGUGACAGCUGCAGACAAAGAGAGGAGAUUCUUAUACAUUCUGCAACUGGAAUUUUAUCCCUCUUCAAAGUCACCAAAAAAUCCCAUCACUACUAGAUUCUGCAUGUUUGACUCAUCAAAUUAACCAUCUUGUGCUCUAGUGAAGGUUUAUGCCACAGUUUAAUGUUAAGUGAUUCUUUAAAACAUAUGUUUCCACCUUAUUGCUUGCAACUGCCUCUGCCCUAAGGUGCCUUACAAGAUGAAGAGUGGGGAUUCUGCUAUGGUCACACUUGCUAUACACCAAAGUUGGUCAAGGGUAGGCCACUCAGCAUUGUUCAUGAAGUCUGCAUGGUCAGUGCAAGCUCACAAUCAGAGAGAAACAGACAGUAUUCUACCUAUGUUUAGUUUUGUCUGGAAUCCAAGACCAUGUCAACUGAAGAGUUAAACUUCCAAAAGACAGGCUGGCCAUCUUCAUGUGCUUUUCUUCCUCUUUGUCAAAUUGCUCAUCAUCAGAUAUAAAAUUUCAUGACCAUUUUCAGUCAGAUUGACCUGGCUUUCUUGGUCUCAGUUCCUAUAUAUGUAGCUUCUGCUUUCUGCAGAUUUUGUCAACAAGUCACUAUGCUUGUUCCCUACUUUGCCAAGUUUACUUUUCCAUGAAAAACUGCAAUGCAUUUUUCUUACUGACAAUACAAAUCAUGUAAAUAAUUGUGUUUGCUUGGACUGAUAGGAAGGAAAUGGCCAAGCUUGAGGGUUAUCUUU
rnacentral:lncRNA from 1 species